rnacentral:rRNA from 1 species
GGAGGAUGCGAGCGUUAUCCGGAUUUAUUGGGUUUAAAGGGAGCGCAGACGGGAGAUUAAGUCAGUUGUGAAAGUUUGCGGCUCAACCGUAAAAUUGCAGUUGAUACUGGUUUCCUUGAGUGCAGUUGAGGCAGGCGGAAUUCGUGGUGUAGCGGUGAAAUGCUUAGAUAUCACGAAGAACUCCGAUUGCGAAGGCAGCUCACUGGAGCGCAACUGACGCUGAAGCUCGANAGUGCGGGUAUCGAACAGGAUUAGAUACCCUGGUAGUCCGCACGGUAAACGAUGGAUGCCCGCUGUUGGUCUGAAUAGGUCAGCGGCCAAGCGAAAGCAUUAAGCAUCCCACCUGGGGAGU